CGAUGGUGCCAUCAGUGGACUAAAGUUGCACACCGUUACAUGCGGCGUUGAAGGAGGUCCCCGGGGUCCACAUGGUCAUCCUCACCUGCUGCACGCUUGCCUGGAGAAGGUCUCCCAAUCUUUCAACCAGCUCCGUGAAGGUGGGCCUCUCCUGCGGUUCCCCCUGCCAGCAGUCCAGCAUGGUCUGGUAUCUACAAGAAGACAGCACAUACGUUCUCAGCAUGGCUGGUGCCAAAGAACAUACAGCGUAUCAGACUACAUUGAAGGCGUCUUUAGAGAUAAUAUGAGCGCUGGAAGAGAAGCCUCUUUGACACGGGCGUCCCAGAAGAGUCCAUCCCCGAGCAUGGUGGGAUAUGCGUUCACACAGCCGCCGUCCCGCCUCACUAAAGUGUCCAACGUGUCGUCUUCUUCCAAGGCUGUCCCAUCAGCACGUCUAUAAAAGGCAGCCUUCCCCCGAUCCCAUCCUGGCCAUCUCCUCCUCCUUCUCACGCCACGUGUGUGUACUUGAGUACUUCACAUGACUCCUAAACCCUCCUGGGCCGCACGCGGGAUUUAUGAACUUCUGUUUUAAUAGUGAUAGGGGAUCAAACCAUCCGAGACUUUUAUCAGCAACAAACUGGAUGGAGAAUUUGAUUGGAGAUGAUGCUCCAAAUUAAAAGCAGACCGGCGGCCCGUUGGGAAAAGAGGACCUGUGGACGCAGACCCACUGGUGCCAGGACUCGCUCCUUCUUGAUGUAUGAGAGACCUGGGAGGAGGAGGGGGGGGGUCAAUGCUCACAUUUCAGAGGACGAGUAUUCCGGAGCUCUCAUCCUGGUGCCCUCCUUGAGUCUGCAGCAAAACUCCUCAUCGAUCUGGACGCCCGGAUACGGCGACGCACCUGAAGGGGGACAGCACCAUGAAACAGGGGUGUACAAACUGCACGUCGGUGGCCGUUUGGGCCCCCAUUACACGAAUAUUAAACAACAGCAAAAAUGAAAACAUCAGCGGAAUAAAAUGAAAAUAUUUACACAAAAAACUAAUCUAACAAAAAAUGUACAAGAAUAAUGUGGGAAUAUUAUGAAACACAAGACUACAUUUUUUGGAAAAUUAGGUUGGGGAUAAAUUUAGAGGUUCACAUAGUUGGAAUAAUAAUAA